rnacentral:lncRNA from 1 species
GGCUCAAGGACCUGGUUACAGAAUUUUCUGGGGUUUAAAUACACUCUAGAGGUUUCCUGUUGGUUACUUGGUGUACACCCUAUGUAAAUGAAGUAGUGGCCCGCAAUCAGUCUGAUUGGUUGCAGGAGGGGAACAAUCAGAGACUGAAGCAAAGUUACAGUUACACCCUAUGCAAACGACUAAUUGGUUGCAGAAAGUGAUGAAUCAGAGGCUGAAGUGAAGUUACAAAGUUAUACUCCUAUGCAAAGGAAGACUUGGCCUGUGACCAGCCUGAUUGACUGCAGGAGGGGACCAGUCAGAGUUUUCAGCUUUCCUCCACUGUUUUGGGAAACGUCACCUUCUUAUCUUGGAAGAGUAAUCUCAAAAUUGAAGCAUCUUAGAUCCAACAAGAAUUAAAAGGAUGGGAAGUCCUUGCAGCCAUCCAAUAGAGUCAGAAGACUUUGGAUUUUGGAGUCUGUGAGAUUAUCUUACAGAGCAAGACUGCAGAUCAAGAUUUUCCAACGUGGUGCUGACUUUUUUGAGAACAGUUAAUGAGAACUAGGAAAGUCCUUGCAGACCAUCCAGUCCAGCGGCUUUCAAAUGGAAAAUGUGAAAGGACAACAGAAUCACAUGGAUUCUUUUCUGAACUGCUUUUUUCCAGUGAUGCCAUAUUCUAUAAGACUUCAUGUGAAGGUGUGGAGGACGGGUAAUGUCUGAAUCUUCCAGGCAAUGAGAGGGAUGGUGUGAGUCUGGAAAUUCUUUGUGAUGGUCUGAGACUCCCCUUACUCCAGUUAAGAACACUGACUUAAUUCGAUCUGGUUUUUUUUAACAAAUGGCCUCUGAGACGUAGAGCAGUGAGGAUAAGGACUCUUACCCGGUUACAGAGUGGAGUAAGGGCUAGAACUCAACUCUUAAAAAUUUCAAAUGCAAUGUUCUUUCUACAAUAUUGUGCCUACUUCUUCACUUCUGCUUAUAGGCAACUUCCUUUUCCUUUAAUUCUCUAAUAUUUGGAGGGCACGUCACAACUUAUACACUUGCUCUAUAUGUUUUACAUUGCUUCUCAUGGUUUCUCAUGCAUAAGUAUAGUAUUUUCUUAUAUUUUAAAUUUUCUAAGAACAGGUAACCUAUUUUAAACUCCCCUUGCAAUUAUGCAGGUAACUAACACAUUGAUGAUAAGCUAAUAUUAAGAGAGCAAAAUAGUUGAUGAUUAGUUUAUUAGUAUCUCAAAAUAAUCCAUUUGAUGUGCUAAGGUGCUAUUAGUUACAACAUUUCAAGUAUACAUGCAAUUCUUGUUAGAAAUAUUAUCCACCUUUUGAAAUACAUGUUGAUUAAAGACUAACAUGGGCUGUGGGCAUAGGUACAGUAACAGCAUACCAUAGGCCGGAGAAAGAGUUGACUUUGGAGGUCCAAGAUCAAGAAGCAGGAUGUCUAACAGGGCUCUUGAGAAUUCUAGGGCAGCCGGUACUCGAAAGGCAAGAUUUGAUUGUGAAUGAUUUCAUGCAACUCCGUUGGUUAAUAAGCAAAUCCUGCCCACACUUGUGGAUAACAUGGAAGCUACCUGAGCAGGUAAAGGCUAAGACAGAAGAUCCAUGAACAGAACUGGAGUUUUGAUAAUUCACCAGGAACUUGGUUACUUUGUUGUACCUUUUAUGCUUUUAUAUUUCUUCUUCCCUUUCAUUUCCAUGCAAUGUAUUUAUAACUUGUAGCUAGAUUUUUAGAUUACUGCCAGACAAAUUCAGUCAAUUUAAUUAAUUAGGCAAAUUAAAGUGAAAAUUAUGUUUUAGGGGCUGUUAAAAUUUAUAAGACAUUAGCACAUUCUUCUCAUGUGCUUUUAUUAUUAUUACAAAUGUUGUUUCAUAAUUAGCCAUGUGUUAAUUGUUAGCUUGGGGAAUGAUUUACGUGUUUAAAAUUGGGAGAAAUCAUUUUGGCUAUGGCUACCUCUUUUAAUUUACUUACAUAUUUUUUUCCCAUCACACAGUGUUUGACUUUUACAACCACAUACAUUUUGAUUAGAACCUGAAAUAAUUCAGUAAAACAAGAUGAUGGUUUUUUGUUCUGCUCAAUCUUUGUAUCAUAACCUUCACUUCUCAAUGCUCAAAUGAUGGAAUGAAAAGUGGACAAUUCUUGACUGCAUCGUGCUGCCCUUGUGUUGCUGUACUGUUAUUUCA